rnacentral:lncRNA from 1 species
CCUGAGCCGGGCUCCCGCGGCUGGGGUGGCAGGAGGAGAGGCCGCGCGGCGCGGGGAGAGCCCAGAUUACUCCAGACCCUGAGCCACCGAUAACUCUCCAAGACGAUACCUGCCAUAGAAUACAUGCUAAACAAUCAUCUAUUGAACAAAUGCGACUGGAAACCAAAUUAUCAAUUUUAGCAGAUACAUAACAGUUGCCUUAUAUUAGAUUCAGACACUGACAGGAAGUGAAGCCCUAGAAAGUGAAGCCCUUUCAAAGCCCUGCUGAUGACAGGGCCUGGAUCCCUGAGUUACUGGUUGGAGUGGAGUUACCUGGAGUUGCCUCCCGAGCAGGAACAUCCAUGUUGGACAUUUUACAACUUGAGGAAUUCUGGCAUCUCGAACAGACAAGUUCUUCAGCACACACUUAAUGGUGGCUCUUCCCAUGAGAUAUUAAAAAAGCAAAGACAUGGGGGAAAUGCUGGUGAUCUACUACAUGAAGAAAAGCAGAGUCCUAAAAUAGCAAUAUAUUGCUGGGACUACAGGAAUGAGAUGCCAAGGAGGCUGACUUUUCUCUUAUAGAAUAUAAAUACCUCUCUAAUAAAGAAAUAUUGGUUUAAAUUAUGAGUUUCAGAUACAACCGAAUCCAUUUCUGCUUCCUAGGGCUAUUUUCAUCUGAAGUCCCGUUGCACUUGAUUGUAGCCAAAGUGACUGAAGCCUCUUUGGAAAUACAUGGGACAUAAAUGUACAAUAGGGGCUGGAGGUAUAGCUCAGUAGUAGAGCAUCAGCCUAGCAAGUGUGAGGCCCUGGAUUUGAUCCCCAGCACCAAAUAUAUGUCUGUAUAAUAAAGUAAAAAGAGCUCAAAAACAAAAAUCAGACAUGAUGGGGUCUCAAACUUAGGUUCUGCUACAUGAUGACUUAUCUUCCUCAGUUUUUGAUGUGGAAUAAUAGUAACAGCUGAGAUUUGUAGAACAUUCAGUAUGUACCAGACACUGUUUAAGUGCUUUACAUACAGUGGAAUUCUGCUAAAAAUCCUCUAAGGCAAAUUUUUUAUUUUUAAUGGUACAGGAGAUUGAACCCCAGGCCUUGUACAUACUAGGCAAGUGCUCUUCAAUUGAGCUAUACCUCCAGACCUUCUUAUUUUAUUUUGAAACAAGAUCUCAUUAAAUUACCCAGGCUAGCCUUGAACUUGCAAUCCUCCUGACUCUGGCUCCGCCUCCUGAGUAGCUGGGAUUACAGGUGUGCACCACCACUUCUGGGCUGAGAUGAAUUCUAUUAGUCUUAUUUUUUCAGAUGAUAAAAAUGAAACAGAGAGAAUGUCAAUCUUGCC